AGCAUGCGUAGAAAUGGCGCUCGGUACGUGCCCCCCGACCCGACGUCUGCCGCGGGGGCGCGCUCGCACGCCGGAAGGGGCGGAGCCAGAUUUGACUUUAUAUAGCGGACACCGACAACAAGCCGACCUCUACCGGCGGGAUUUGAUGGUGUGAUGUCUCACAGAAAGUUCUCCGCUCCCAGACAUGGGUCCCUCGGCUUCCUGCCUCGGAAGCGCAGCAGCAGGCAUCGCGGGAAGGUUAAGAGCUUCCCUAAAGAUGAUCCGUCUAAGCCGGUCCACCUCACAGCCUUCCUGGGAUACAAGGCUGGCAUGACCCACAUCGUGCGGGAAGUCGACAGGCCAGGAUCUAAGGUGAACAAGAAAGAGGUGGUGGAGGCUGUAACCAUUGUGGAGACGCCACCCAUGGUGGUUGUGGGCAUUGUGGGCUACGUGGAAACCCCUCGAGGCCUCCGGACCUUCAAGACUGUCUUCGCUGAGCACAUCAGUGAUGAAUGCAAGAGGCGUUUCUAUAAGAACUGGCAUAAAUCUAAGAAGAAGGCCUUUACCAAGUACUGCAAGAAAUGGCAGGAUGAGGAUGGCAAGAAGCAGCUGGAGAAGGACUUCAGCAGCAUGAAAAAGUACUGCCAAGUCAUCCGUGUCAUUGCCCACACCCAGAUGCGCCUGCUUCCUCUGCGCCAGAAGAAGGCCCACCUGAUGGAGAUCCAGGUGAACGGAGGCACCGUGGCCGAGAAGCUGGACUUGGGCCCGCGAGAGGCUCGAGCAGCAGGUACCUGUGAACCAGGUGUUUGGGCAGGAUGAGAUGAUCGACGUCAUCGGGGUGACCAAGGGCAAAGGCUACAAAGGUGAGCUUUGCAGCAGCUUGCGUUGCUGUGCAAACCUGGGGGAGAAGUGA